CAGCCGCCGCGGGAAUACGUAGGGCGCGAGCGUUGUCCGGAAUUAUUGGGCGUAAAGAGCUCGUAGGCGGCUGGUCGCGUCUGUCGUGAAAUCCUCUGGCUUAACUGGGGGCUUGCGGUGGGUACGGGCCGGCUUGAGUGCGGUAGGGGAGACUGGAACUCCUGGUGUAGCGGUGGAAUGCGCAGAUAUCAGGAAGAACACCGGUGGCGAAGGCGGGUCUCUGGGCCGUUACUGACGCUGAGGAGCGAAAGCGUGGGGAGCGAACAGGAUUAGAUACCCCAGUAGUCCCUGUCUCUUAUAC
rnacentral:rRNA from 1 species